rnacentral:rRNA from 1 species
AUUGAACGCUGGCGGCAGGCUUAACACAUGCAAGUCGAGCGGGGUGAUGGUGCUUGCACUAUCACUUAGCGGCGGACGGGAGUAAUGCUUAGGAAUCUGCCUAUUAGUGGGGGACAACAUCUCGAAAGGGAUGCUAAUACCGCAUACGUCCUACGGGAGAAAGCAGGGGAUCACUUGUGACCUCGCGCUAAUAGAUGAGCCUAAGUCGGAUUAGCUAGUUGGUGGGGUAAAGGCCUACCAAGGCGACGAUCUGUAGCGGGUCUGAGAGGAUGAUCCGCCACACUGGGACUGAGACACGGCCCAGACUCCUACGGGAGGCAGCAGUGGGGAAUAUUGGACAAUGGGGGGAACCCUGAUCCAGCCAUGCCGCGUGUGUGGAGAAGGCCUUAUGGUUGUAAAGCACUUUAAGCGAGGAGGAGGCUCUUUUGGUUAAUACCCAAGAUGAGUGGACGUUACUCGCAGAAUAAGCACCGGCUAACUCUGUGCCAGCAGCCGCGGUAA